rfam:Bacillus sp. FJAT-18017 genome.
AGGGGUAUAGUUUAAAGGUAGAACGAAGGUCUCCAAAACCUUUGGUGUGGGUUCGAUUCCUACUACCCCUG